CGCUCUAGCCAGUAAUUCUUGUCAUGCAAAAUUGUUCAAGGCAUUUUUACAAAACCCAAACCUUCACGGGUUUAAUAUGAGGGUUUCAAAAGACAUGGUGCCAGAAGUAGUAGUUGGUUGUUCAUCAUCAAAUUACACAUUUGCCAUUGUUUUCUUCCAAAAAACGGAUACUUAUACUUGUGACGGUUUCAUGUUUGUUUUGGUGUGACUGUUAUUUAAAAUACAAAAUCACAGAGAAGUUUGAGCGGGUGAGCCACACAGAUCCCACAACAAGUCAUACGGCGUUGGAGUUGAGAGUAUAUGAUCAUUUUAUAGAAGCCAAUAAAGUGGAAGAAGUAAAGGUGGUUGCAGAGUUUUAUUCAGCGCUGGAGAAAGGAGCUGAAGAGAAAUUGAGAAUUGAAACAUGUAUAGUUUAUGAAGAAGAGGGUGAGGUUUACUUCUUUCCUGUGAAUCCAAAUACGGUGAUCAAAUUCCACCCUGAAGAUUCUACACACACCCAGAGACAUUAAAAUCCAAAGGUUAAUAUAAUAGUCACAAUUAGUUCUCCAUCCUCUGAUUCAAAAAUGGAAACAGAGCAGCAGCGCAAUAGGCGAUAUGAAGGAGAAGAAGAAGAAGAA